UAGGGAAUCUUCCACAAUGGACGCAAGUCUGAUGGAGCAACGCCGCGUGAGUGAAGAAGGCUUUCGGGUCGUAAAACUCUGUUAUUGAAGAAGAACGUGUGUGACAGUAACUGGUCAUGCAGUGACGGUAUUCAAUCAGAAAGUCACGGCUAACUACGUGCCAGCAGCCGCGGUAAUACGUAGGUGGCAAGCGUUGUCCGGAUUUAUUGGGCGUAAAGCGAGUGCAGGCGGUCUUUUAAGUCUGAUGUGAAAGCCUUCGGCUUAACCGAAGAAGGGCAUCGGAAACUGGGAGACUUGAGUGCAGAAGAGGAGAGUGGAACUCCAUGUGUAGCGGUGAAAUGCGUAGAUAUAUGGAAGAACACCAGUGGCGAAGGCGGCUCUCUGGUCUGUAACUGACGCUGAGGCUCGAGAGCGUGGUAGCAAACAGGAUUAGAUACCCUGGUAGUCCACGCCGUAACGAUGAAUACUAAGUGUUGGAGGGUUUCCGC
rnacentral:rRNA from 1 species